GUGCCAGCAGCCGCGGUAAUACGUAGGGUGCAAGCGUUGUCCGGAAUUAUUGGGCGUAAAGAGCUCGUAGGCGGUCUGUCGCGUCGGACGUGAAAAUCCAGGGCUCAACCCUGGACCUGCGUUCGAUACGGGCAGACUAGAGUUCGGUAGGGGAGACUGGAAUUCCUGGUGUAGCGGUGAAAUGCGCAGAUAUCAGGAGGAACACCGGUGGCGAAGGCGGGUCUCUGGGCCGAAACUGACGCUGAGGAGCGAAAGCGUGGGGAGCGAACAGGAUUAGAAACCCCCGUAGUCC
rnacentral:rRNA from 1 species